GUGCUCGCUUCGGCACACAUACACUGAAAUUGGAACAGUACAGACAUUAGCAGGGACCCUGCACAAGGCCAACACACAAAUUUGUGAAGCCCUCCACAUUAAA